rnacentral:rRNA from 1 species
GACUCUCGGCAACGGAUAUCUCGGCUCACGCAUCGAUGAAGAACGUAGCAAAAUGCGAUACUUGGUGUGAAUUGCAGAAUCCCGUGAACCAUCGAGUUUUUGAACGCAAGUUGCGCCCGAAGCCUUUCGGACGAGGGCACGUCUGCCUGGGCGUCACAC